ACCAUGAAGGUGGGAUUCGCCCCCAACCCCUCACUUCAGGCCCAACCAUGUCUACCUCAUAGUGUCCUCCAAGGCCCUUGUCUGGGUACUGAGAACAGCAACAUUUCCUGAGAGUAAAAACAAGCUCUUGAGAACAGCUAGAAGUCAGGCUGCUACAGUCUUCGCUGUUGGCUAUCGUGAGCCCUGACUGGAUGAGGUUUUGCUGUCUACUGGCUGCUUCAGUCUGCUGUGUGCUAUUUGCUCUCUUUGCUUCCUAAAUGCUCACUCAUCUGAACUGGAAAGCGCAGCCACCAUAGUUACUCUCCACUGCAGAACACCCAUGCAGCAGCACGAAUGGGCUUUCCUCCCCUUUGACAGGUGAAUAACAACCUGGCACUGCAGGCGUGCAGCAGUUAGCUCAUCCAUUUACCUGUUAAAUUGAUAUUUGGGUUCCUUCUAGCCUCUAA